UGUGAGUUGGCUAUCUACCUUGUGGGGAUUGGAGAAAUUGUCUGGGUUAAGUGAGCCCAUUGGACAGAAUACUAAAGGGGGCCUUCUCUUCAAAGAAGACCUGAGAGAAUGCAGAGAGGAGAGGAGGGUCAAGGAAGCUAUGAAGAAACCCUCAGUUCAUUAAGUUCUCCCAUCACCCUCUAUAGAAGGAACACGAGAAGGAGAUCAGAGAAGAUGAGGCAGAAGAAGAGAAAGAUGAGGAAGCAGGAGGAAGCACUUCUCCGUAGGAAGUCACUUGGGAAUCAGGGCAUUGCUCUUCGUCCCUUGGCAAGCUCCCCUUGACCUUUCUAAAAAUCAAGAAGAAGAACAUCAGACUGUGUGUCUGUCUUGUACUCAUCAUGGACAGCUGUGUUAAGACUUGACCUGUGGUGUGAUUGAUUUCAAGGACAUCUCUGACAACUUGAGAAUUGCUCCAACAGAGCAAGAUCCUGAAAAUCAUCACCAAAAUCAUUGUGAAGAACAGCCUUGUGCUCCUUUCUGAGUUGCAGAAGACAAUGAGAAAUGAAAGAAAUUCUAUGAAGUGAUCCCCAAGAAUUUAAGAUUCCUCUGCAUUAAAGGAGUGGCAUCCAGUGGACCAACUGCAGCUGUCCACCCCCUCACUUCUGAGGAGCAGCAGCCUGAACCUGUGUGUGUGAGCUGGAAGCUUUCCUCUGGCUGUCUGUGAAGGAGGGAGCCACACUGGUACUACUGCGAUUUCUUCCAACACUGUCAUGGCAGGGCCUGGUGCUAAGGACUGUAAGGACCUGACUCAUUACCCAACUCUCCCAGUGUUUUGCUUUGGAGGCCCUGCA